UCGAAACCAAAUUAAAUCAUUCCGAUGCUAAUACCAGAUGUAUAGAGAUGGGAUAUCAAGGAUUAGCAGAACUAAAAACUCAACAACAACAAAAACUUGCAAACGAUAUCGUUUACCACUAUAAUAAAGGUAAGUCAGGAGCCCAUGUAUGGAUUGGUCUGACGUAUAACAUGUCUACUAGCAAUUGGUGGUGGGGAUCUGGAGAAGAGUCGAUAGAAUCUAAUUCAUCGAAUGUUUGGACCUCUGGCGAACCUAAUCACAUGUUCAACCAGCGUUGUGUUAGUUUGAUGUACACCUCGAGCCCACAUGUCGUGGGGUGGGCUAGUAAAGGAUGCUUGAAAUUUCACAAAGCACUGUGUCAGAGGGCAAAAGACCUAUCGUCAAAUUAUAUGGAACUAAUGUAUUCAGACACAGCAGCACCAGUUGGAUCAACCGCCUUUAGAGUAAGAAGUUUGAUGGAUUGUGUGACGUCAUGUGUAUUGGAUUGUUCGUGUCAAGCUAUUCACUACUCUGGAGAUGAAUGUCGCCUAAUGACGUAUUAUUUAUUAGACUCUAUCUCGACCACACCCACUGAUAUUAUCGGUAACAUAUAUGCAAAGGUUUAAAUGAACAGUCUGGGGUUGUUUAGUCAACUGCAAUAUAUAAAUUGCAAUGAAGACCUUUAGUAUCUUUUGUUCUUGAUCAGUGUAGAUCUAAGGGACUUUUUG